GUGCUGGCCCCGGCAGCACCGACACUAAAAUUGGAAUGAUACAGAGAUUAGCACGGCCCCCGUGCAAGGAUGACACGCAAAUAGACGCAUCACAGGGGUUCUUC
rnacentral:snRNA from 1 species